AGAAACCAACAGGGAUUGCCCUAGUAACGGCGAGUGAAGCGGCAACAGCUCAAAUUUUGAAAUCUGGCCCUCGGGUCCGAGUUGUAAUUUGUAGAGGAUGCUUUUGGUGCGGUACCUUCCGAGUUCCCUGGAACGGGACGCCAUAGAGGGUGAGAGCCCCGUCUGGUUGGAUACCAAUCCUCUGUAAAGCUCCUUCGACGAGUCGAGUAGUUUGGGAAUGCUGCUCUAAAUGGGAGGUAUAUGUCUUCUAAAGCUAAAUACCGGCCAGAGACCGAUAGCGCACAAGUAGAGUGAUCGAAAGAUGAAAAGCACUUUGAAAAGAGGGUUAAACAGUACGUGAAAUUGUUGAAAGGGAAGCGCUUGUGACCAGACUUGGGCAUGGUUAAUCAUCCAGCGUUCUCGCUGGUGCACUUGGCCUGCCCAGGCCAGCAUCAGUUCGGUGCGGGGGAUAAAGGCUUCGGGAAUGUGGCUCCUCCGGGAGUGUUAUAGCCCGUUGCGCAAUACCCUGCGCUGGACUGAGGUUCGCGCAUCUGCAUGGAUGCUGGCGUAAUGGUCAUCAGCGACCCGUCUUGAAACACGGACCAAGGAGUCGUCCUCGUAUGCGAGUGUUCGGGUGUUAAACCCCUACGCGUAAUGAAAGUGAACGCAGGUGAGAGCUUCGGCGCAUCAUCGACCGAUCCUGAUGUUCUCGGAUGGAUUUGAGUAAGAGCAUACGGGGCCGGACCCGAAAGAAGGUGAACUAUGCCUGUAUAGGGUGAAGCCAGAGGAAACUCUGGUGGAGGCUCGCAGCGGUUCUGACGUGCAAAUCGAUCGUCAAAUAUGGGCAUGGGGGCGAAAGACUAA
rnacentral:rRNA from 1 species